AUGGUGGCCUGGGCCGGUCACUCGCCCUGUCUGCUGGUGUCCUCCACGACCAAGACCAACCCCACCGUCUUCCCGCUGACACUGCCCGGCACGGAGAAGGCCGAGUCCGUGGUCAUCGGCUGCCUGGUCCGCGGCUUCAUCCCUUUGCCCGCCAAAGUGACCUGGGACCACAGCGGAAAUGAUGUGACCAUCAGGGACUUCGUGCCCACACAGCCCGGCACCGGGGGUCUGUACACCAUGAGCAGCCAACUGGUGGCGCCCACCAAACAGUGCCCGAAGUCCGGCACCAUGCACUGCCAAGUGCAGCACUACGGCUUCAGCAAGACCCUGGACGUGACCUGCCGAGAGCCGUGCCCAAAGUGCCCCAUACAGACCUGCCAGCCCCGCCUGGCGCUGCAGGAGCCCGCCCUCGAGGACCUGCUGAUGAAGUCCGAGGCCAACCUCACCUGCACACUGAGCGGCCUGAGGGACCCCAAGAACGCCACGUUCACCUGGAACUCCCUGGGCGGGACAAACGUCGUCCAGGGGACGCCCGAGCUUGACUCCUGCGGCUGCUACAGAGUGUCCAGCUACCUGCUUGGCUGCGCCGACCCCUGGAACAAGAAGGAGACCUUCACCUGCACCGCCUCCCACCCUGAGCUGCAGCAGCCACUCAGCAAGUCCAUCUCCAAGUCCGCAGGCCCCAUCCACGUACCCCAGGUGCACCUGCUGCCGCCGCCGUCGGAAGAGCUGAGCCUCCAGGAGCAGGUGACGCUCACCUGCAUCGUCCGCGGCUUCAGCCCCAAGCAGGUGCUGGUGCGCUGGCAGCACGCGGGCCGGGAGCUGCCCCCGGAGGAUUCCCUGACCUUUGGCGCCCAGCUUGAGCCCGGCCAGAAGGACACCUACGCCGUGACCAGCCUGCUGCGCGUGGACCCCGAGGCCUGGAGGCAGGGGGACAACUUCUCCUGCUUGGUGGGCCACCAGUCGCUGGAGGAGGGCUUCACCAUGAAGACCAUCGACCGCAUGGCGGGUAAACCCACCCACGUCAACGUGUCCGUGGUCGUGGCGGAGGCGGACGGGGUCUGCUACUGA